UCUCCGAUUUUGUCUCGUGCUCCCUCCCAUUUUCUUUUCCUUUCUUUCCUUCCAAGCAAACUAAAACCACUGGAUCUACGCCUUUGAAUUUUCCCGUCCAACGAGCUUUUGUUGAUGCUUGGAGACUUCUGGUUCGAUCGAAUUUGGAUUUGAGAUCAAUGGAACUCAGCAGACAAAACUCUUCCUUUCUCUACAACGUGCUCAGUCUCUGCUCUUACUUGCUAGGACCAUCUUAACCCUCUUCACAUUGAGGUGGAGGUGCUCUGGGGUUCACCCAGAUGACCAUCCAGUCAAAUCAGAGCUUAUA